rnacentral:misc_RNA from 1 species
GAUGAAGAACGCAGCGAAAUGCGAUAAGUAAUGUGAAUUGCAGAAUUCAGUGAAUCAUCGAAUCUUUGAACGCACAUUGCGCCCGCCAGCAUUCUGGCGGGCAUGCCUGUUCGAGCGUCAUUUCAACCCUCGACUUCCCUUUGGGGAAAUCGGCGUUGGGGACCGGCUGUAUACCGCCGGCCCCGAAAUGAAGUGGCGGCCCGUCCGCGGCGACCUCUGCGUAGUAAUCCAACUCGCACCGGAACCCCGACGUGGCCACGCCGUAAAACCCCCGACUUCUGAACGUUGACCUCGGAUCUGGUAGGAAUACCCGCUGAACUUAAGCAUAUCAAUAAGCGGAGGA